GAUAAGCCUGGGAAACUGGGUCUAAUACCGAAUAGGACCGCAUGCUUCAUGGUGUGUGGUGGAAAGCUUUUGCGGUGUGGGAUGGGCCCGCGGCCUAUCAGCUUGUUGGUGGGGUAAUGGCCUACCAAGGCGACGACGGGUAGCCGGCCUGAGAGGGUGUCCGGCCACACUGGGACUGAGAUACGGCCCAGACUCCUACGGGAGGCAGCAGUGGGGAAUAUUGCACAAUGGGCGCAAGCCUGAUGCAGCGACGCCGCGUGGGGGAUGACGGCCUUCGGGUUGUAAACCUCUUUCAGUAUCGGCGAAGCUCCAAGGUUUUCUUUGGGGUGACGGUAGGUACAGAAGAAGCACCGGCCAACUACGUGCCAACA
rnacentral:rRNA from 1 species